UUGGGGGAUGUCUAUAGGUGUUUUUUAGAGAGGAGGGUGGACUUAAUGUUAGUGUAUUUAAGGUGGGGCUAUUGAUUGUUUUUUGAGAAGACACGCCAGCAGAUGAGCUCUGAACGGAGAAGUUGGAGAGCGUCCAAAGUUAGAGAGCGUCAAAAAGUUGUUUCGAGAUGGUUAAAGAUAUAACUGUGUUUGCUGACGUGCACGCAGUAUUUGACGACGACUUUAGCGGAGUUUAUUUAACACAAUCAGACUACGAUCUCGUGGCGGCUGCUACUAGGCUAAAAAAUCCACUGAUACAGACUGGUUUGGAGGCAGAACCAUCAGAGCAGCGUGAUUUCGG